rnacentral:rRNA from 1 species
ACCCAAUAGAUACCCAGGUAGUCCUGGCAGUAAACGGUGCGCGUUUGGUGUGGGGGGAUUCGACAAUCUCCGCGCCGGAGCUAAACGCGUUAAACGCGCCGCCUGGGAAAUACGGUCGCAAGAUUAAAACUCAAAGAAAUUGACGGGGGCCCGCACAAGCGGUGGAGUAUGUGGCUUAAUUCGAUGCAACGCGAAGAACCUUACCUGGGCUUGACAUGCAUCGCUAAGUUGGUGAAAGCCAGCGAGUCCCGCAAGGGACACUUUGCACAGGUGCUGCAUGGCUGUCGUCAGCUCGUGUCGUGAGAUGUUGGGUUAAGUCCCGCAACGAGCGCAACCCUUAUGAACUGUUGCCUUUGGCUUACCGCCGGGCUCUCUGUUCAGACCGCCCUGUGAAACGGGGAGGAAGGUGGGGAUGACGUCAAGUCAGCAUGGCCCUUACGCCCAGGGCUGCACACGUACUACAAUGCUCAGUACAGAGGGAGCCAAGCCGGCGACGGCAAGGAAAUCCCAAAAAACUGGGCUCAGUUCAGAUUGCA